GACGAACGCUGGCGGCGUGCUUAACACAUGCAAGUCGAACGGUAAGGCCCUUCGGGGUACACGAGUGGCGAACGGGUGAGUAACACGUGGGUGAUCUGCCCUGCACUUCGGGAUAAGCCUGGGAAACUGGGUCUAAUACCGGAUAGGACCCUGGGAUGCAUGUCCUGGGGUGGAAAGCUUUUGCGGUGUGGGAUGGGCCCGCGGCCUAUCAGCUUGUUGGUGGGGUGAUGGCCUACCAAGGCGACGACGGGUAGCCGGCCUGAGAGGGUGACCGGCCACACUGGGACUGAGAUACGGCCCAGACUCCUACGGGAGGCAGCAGUGGGGAAUAUUGCACAAUGGGCGCAAGCCUGAUGCAGCGACGCCGCGUGAGGGAUGCCGGCCUUCGGGUUGCAAACCUCUUUCAGCACCGACGAAGCGCAAGUGACGGUAGGUGCAGAAGAAGGACCGGCCAACUACGUGCCAGCAGCCGCCGUAA
rnacentral:rRNA from 1 species